rnacentral:rRNA from 1 species
AUUGAACGCUGGCGGCAGGCCUAACACAUGCAAGUCGAGCGGAUGAUGGGAGCUUGCUCCUGGAUUCAGCGGCGGACGGGUGAGUAAUGCCUAGGAAUCUGCCUGGUAGUGGGGGACAACGCUUCGAAAGGAACGCUAAUACCGCAUACGUGCUACGGGAGAAAGCAGGGGACCUUCGGGCCUUGCGCUAUCAGAUGAGCCUAGGUCGGAUUAGCUUGUUGGUGAGGUAAUGGCUCACCAAGGCGACGAUCCGUAACUGGUCUGAGAGGAUGAUCAGUCACACUGGAACUGAGACACGGUCCAGACUCCUACGGGAGGCAGCAGUGGGGAAUAUUGGACAAUGGGCGAAAGCCUGAUCCAGCCAUGCCGCGUGUGUGAAGAAGGUCUUCGGAUUGUAAAGCACUUUAAGUUGGGAGGAAGGGUUGUAGAUUAAUACUCUGCAAUUUUGACGUUACCGACAGAAUAAGCACCGGCUAACUCUGUGCCAGCCGCCGCGGUAACAC